rnacentral:rRNA from 1 species
ACAACUUUCAGCAGUGGAUGUCUAGGCUCGCACAUCGAUGAAGAACGCUGCGAACUGCGAUACGUAAUGCGAAUUGCAGAAUUCAGUGAGUCAUCGAAAUUUGAACGCAUAUUGCACUUUCGGGUUAUGCCUGGAAGUACGUCUGUAUCAGUGUCCGUA